UACGGAGGGUGCAAGCGUUAUCCGGAUUUAUUGGGUUUAAAGGGUCCGUAGGCGGAUCUAUAAGUUAGUGGUGAAAGCCGACAGCUUAACUGUCGAACUGCCGUUGAUACUGUAGGUCUUGAGUAAAUUUGAAGUGGCUGGAAUAAGUAGUGUAGCGGUGAAAUGCAUAGAUAUUACUUAGAACACCAAUUGCGAAGGCAGGUCACUAAGAUUUAACUGACGCUGAUGGACGAAAGCGUGGGGAGCGAAC
rnacentral:rRNA from 1 species